AUGAACGCUGGCGGCGUGCCUAAUACAUGCAAGUCGAACGAGGUGCUUUUGUAGCAAUACGAGAGUAUCCUAGUGGCGAACGGGUGAGUAACGCGUUGGUGACCUACCCCAAAGUGUGGGAUAACAGUCCGAAAGGAUUGCUAAUACCGCAUGUGGUCAUUGGAUUUAGAAACUGAUGACUAAAGGAGCAAUUCGCUUUGGGAGGGACCUGCGUCCCAUCAGCUAGUUGGUGAGGUAACGGCUCACCAAGGCGACGACGGGUAGGGGACCUGAGAGGGUGGCCCCCCACAAUGGAACUGAAACACGGUCCAUACACCUACGGGUGGCAGCAGUAGGGAAUAUUGCACAAUGGGCGAAAGCCUGAUGCAGCAACGCCGCGUGUGUGAUGAAGGCCUUCGGGUCGUAAAGCACUUUUCUGGGAGAUGAGAAAGGACAGUAUCCCAGGAAUAAGUCUCGGCUAACUACGUGCCAGCAGCCGCGGUAAAACGUAGGAGGCAAGCGUUAUCCGGAUUCACUGGGCGUAAAGCGCGUGCAGGUGGUGUGGUAAGUUAGGCGUGAAAUCUCCCGGCUCAACUGGGAGAGGUCGUCUAAUACUACCGUACUAGAGAGCAGAAGAGGAAGAUGGAAUUCCCGGUGUAGUGGUGAAAUGCGUAGAUAUCGGGAGGAACACCAGUGGCGAAGGCGAUCUUCUGGUCUGUUUCUGACACUCAGACGCGACAGCUAGGGUAGUAAACGGGAUUAGAGACCCCGGUAAUCCUAGCCGUAAACGAUGUGAACUUGGCGUUGGUGGGUUAAACUCCAUCAGUGCCGUAGCAAACGCGAUAAGUUCACCGCCUGGG
rnacentral:rRNA from 1 species